rnacentral:rRNA from 1 species
AACGAACGCUGGCGGCAUGCCUAACACAUGCAAGUCGAACGAGACCUUCGGGUCUAGUGGCGCACGGGUGCGUAACGCGUGGGAACCUGCCCUUAGGUUCGGAAUAACUCCCCGAAAGGGGUGCUAAUACCGGAUAAUGUCUUCGGACCAAAGAUUUAUCGCCUUUGGAUGGGGCCGCGUUGGAUUAGCUAGUUGGUAGGGUAAAAGCCUACCAAGGCGACGUUCCAUAGCUGGUCUGAGAGGAUGAUCAGCCACACUGGGACUGAGACACGGACCAGACUCCUACGGGAAGCAGCAGUGGGGAAUAUUGGACAAUGGGCGAAAGCCUGAUCCAGCAAUGCCGCGUGAGUGAUGAAGGCCUUAGGGUUGUAAAGCUCUUUUAGCCGGGAUGAUAAUGACAGUACCGGGAGAAUAAGCUCCGGCUAACUACGUG